GGAGUGCUCGCCUUAAGGCCAGAGGAGGCGGGGCUCCUGGGGACCGGGACCGGCCCUGGCCUUAGAAGAGGAUAAAAGCCCAGUCAGCCCGGCCCCAGGUUGCGGGAGCAACGUCGUUGUUGGCUUCGGACCUUCCUGUGUUCCUGAUCCCUGCUCGGCUUCCUGUUCCUGACUAUCCGGUACUCCUGUUCCCUGCUCGGCCUCCUGUUCCCGACCAUCCGGUGUUCCUGUUCCCUGCACAGCCUCCUGUUCCAGCACUCCUGUUCCCCGCCCGGCUCUCUGCCUCGGACCUUGCCCCUCUUCGUGUGGACUCUGCUACACCCAAGGUACCUUACCCCCGGGACCAGCACAGGGUG